rnacentral:rRNA from 1 species
AGUUUGAUCCUGGCUCAGGACGAACGCUGGCGGCGUGCUUAAUACAUGCAAGUCGAGCGAGGUUACUGCAUCAGAUUCCUUCGGGAUGAAGAAGCUUUAACCUAGCGGCGGACGGGUGAGUAACGCGUGGGUAACCUACCCUAGAGAUCGGGAUAACAGCGGGAAACUGUUGCUAAUACCGGAUGUCUCUACGAGAAGGCAUCUUUUAGUAGAGAAAGCGAUAGCGCUCUAGGAUGGGCCCGCGUCCCAUUAGCUAGUUGGUGAGGUAACGGCUCACCAAGGCGACGAUGGGUAGCCGGCCUGAGAGGGUGGACGGCCACACUGGGACUGAGACACGGCCCAGACUCCUACGGGAGGCAGCAGUAGGGAAUAUUGCGCAAUGGAGGAAACUCUGACGCAGCGACGCCGCGUGAGCGAUGAAGGUUUUCGGAUCGUAAAGCUCUGUCCUUGGGGAAGAAGGUCUUCGGACUUGACGGUACCCAAGAAGAAAGCCCCGGCUAACUACGUGCCAGCAGCCGCGGUAAUACGUAGGGGGCAAGCGUUGUCCGGAAUUAUUGGGCGUAAAGGGUGCGUAGGCGGCCUUUUAAGUCAGAUGUGAAAGCCCGCGGCUUAACUGCGGGAUUGCAUUUGAAAC